AUUGAACGCUGGCGGCAUGCCUUACACAUGCAAGUCGAACGGCAGCAUGGAAGAGCUUGCUCUUCUGAUGGCGAGUGGCGAACGGGUGAGUAAAGCAUCGGAACGUACCGUGUAAUGGGGGAUAACGUAGCGAAAGUUACGCUAAUACCGCAUACGACCUGAGGGUGAAAGCAGGGGAUCGCAAGACCUUGCGUUAUACGAGCGGCCGAUGUCAGAUUAGCUAGUUGGUAGGGUAAAGGCCUACCAAGGCGACGAUCUGUAGCGGGUCUGAGAGGAUGAUCCGCCACACUGGGACUGAGACACGGCCCAGACUCCUACGGGAGGCAGCAGUGGGGAAUUUUGGACAAUGGGGGAAACCCUGAUCCAGCCAUGCCGCGUGAGUGAAGAAGGCCUUCGGGUUGUAAAGCUCUUUCGGCCGGGAAGAAAUCGCACAGGCUAAUACUCUGUGUGGAUGACGGUACCGGCAUAAGAAGCACCGGCUAACUACGUG
rnacentral:rRNA from 1 species